rnacentral:sRNA from 1 species
GCUGGGCACGGUGGCGCAUGCCUGUCAUCCCAGCCACUCGGAAGGCAGAGACAGGAGGAUCGCAAGUUCAAAGCCAGCCUCAGAACACCGAGGCCUUAAGCAGCUCAGGGAGACCCUGUCUCUA